rnacentral:lncRNA from 1 species
GAUUUGCUGCAGGGAGUGGGUUGGGCAACUAUGAACCAACUACCUACCCUUAGGGGCUAUAGUUUGAACAAGAACUUUUUUUCCAUUGCUCUGGAAGUAACAUCAGCUAACGGUCUUUGAAUGAGAGUCUAUGACAUCAGGUUGCAGAUAAGGAGCGGGUAAGAGAGAUAAAAGGACCACUCUGCUGAUCAUCCAGCAACAGUUAUUUAUGAUGUUCUCCUCACAGGUAGAUUCCCUAUUCAAAAUCAAAGAGUUGAUUUUGAUUUAUUUCCAUUUGUUUUAAUUUGCCUAGGACUGAAAUUGUAUUUUCAGGAUCAGCAGUCAUAUAUUUGGAUCAUGUUAUUGGGAAAAAAUGUAAUUACCUUCAAACCUCAAGAGUUCAU